rnacentral:rRNA from 1 species
UAGGGAAUCUUCGGCAAUGGACGGAAGUCUGACCGAGCAACGCCGCGUGAGUGAAGAAGGUUUUCGGAUCGUAAAGCUCUGUUGUAAGAGAAGAACGAGUGUGAGAGUGGAAAGUUCACACUGUGACGGUAUCUUACCAGAAAGGGACGGCUAACUACGUGCCAGCAGCCGCGGUAAUACGUAGGUCCCGAGCGUUGUCCGGAUUUAUUGGGCGUAAAGCGAGCGCAGGCGGUUAGAUAAGUCUGAAGUUAAGGGCUGUGGCUUAACCAUAGUACGCUUUGGAAACUGUUUAACUUGAGUGCAAGAGGGGAGAGUGGAAUUCCAUGUGUAGCGGUGAAAUGCGUAGAUAUAUGGAGGAACACCGGUGGCGAAAGCGGCUCUCUGGCUUGUAACUGACGCUGAGGCUCGAAAGCGUGGGGAGCAAACAGGAUUAGAUACCCUGGUAGUCCACGCCGUAAACGAUGAGUGCUAGGUGUUAGACCCUUUCCGGGGUUUAGUGCCGCAGCUAACGCAUUAAGCACUCCGCCUGGGGAGUACGACCGCAAGGUUG